rnacentral:tRNA from 1 species
GCCUCUGUAGCUCAGUUGGUUAGAUCGCAGCUCCGGAAUCGCAGGGCCGUAGGUUCGUUUCCUACCAGAGGAC